rfam:Aspergillus kawachii IFO 4308 DNA, contig: scaffold00027.
GUCAGUGUGGCCGAGUGGUUAAGGCGUCAGACCCGAAAUCUGAUGGGUUCGCCCGCACAGUCCUGUCGCUGACG